GCUCGCCGACUUUGAAAAGUAAGCCGCAGUCUUCGUGGAAUCUCCGAAGUCUGAACUUGUGACAUCGUUCAUUUUCUCGACCUCCAUUGAAAUGGUGCCAUCUUUCGACCCUUUUGGCCUUUCCCUUUAGGUUUAGGUUUAGGGCUUUCUUUCCUCCAUCGUAAUUAACUCUCUCAAACCUCUUUCAUUCGGCAUCGCCUCUUGGUUUGUAAGGGUUUCAGCUCAAAUUCAUGAAAUUUCGUGCUCAAGUUUUCACAGGACGAACUCGAUUACGGACGCAUUUGACAUAGUGACUUGAAAUUUCUUCCAACUUCGUCGUCGGGCUGCUGUAUGGGUUUUAUUGGAAAUCGCCAAGACCAUCAAGGAAUUGAGUAUCUAGGUUGAGAAAGCACGGUGAAUUGUUAUCUGGGCGGAGGGCAAAAUUUUAUCUCUACCUCUAUUUGCUGGGUUUUUGGUACUUUCUUUGUGUCUGUUUGGUGGCUUGGUUUUAUCAUAAUGGACGACGGAGAGGUUGAUUUCUCAAACCAGGACGUGUUUUCAACUUCAAACAUUGGUGAUCUACCGGGCGGUGGUUCUAUGGAUAGCUUUCUUGAUGAAAUUCUGAAGGAUACACAUGCCUGCACUCAUACCCACACUUGCCAUCCGCCAGGCCCUGAUUAUUCUCAUACGCACACUUGCUUUCAUGUGCACACUAAAAUUGUGUCUGCCCCAUCUGAGGAGAAAAUUUCUACAGAUGAUACUGCUGAGUCCUCAGAAAAGAAACCAAAGAAACGCCCAUUGGGAAAUCGUGAAGCAGUUCGCAAGUACCGUGAGAAGAAGAAGGCUCGUGCUGCAUCCUUAGAGGAUGAAGUUGAGAGAUUGAGGGCUCUGAACCAGCAGUUGAUGAAGAGAUUGCAAGGUCAGGCUGCAUUGGAGGCUGAGAUUGCCAGGCUUAAGUGUUUACUUGUGGACAUCCGAGGGAGGAUUGAAGGUGAGAUUGGAUCUUUUCCAUAUCAGAGGUCUGCCAGGAGUGGUGAUAUUUAUCAAAAUGCAGCAACACUGAACUUUCCUGGUGCAUAUGUGAUGAAUCCAUGUAAUAUGCAGUUUGAUGAUCAGGCUCACUGCCGUCAUCCAGGGAUGGAUGGAAAAAGUGGGGAAGCUGGAUCCUUAAAUGGUCAAGGUUUCAGUGGUUGUGAGUUUGAGAAUUUGCAAUGUUUGGGAAGCCAGGGUGCUGGAUUGAAGGAGCUUCCUAAUUGUGGACUUGGCAACAUGUCUUCUACAGUCAAUUCUUCUGGUGCAAAGAAGAGAAGAGGGUUUUGAGCAAAAGGAAGAGGGAAUGUUGCCUGACAUUGACAUUGAGAGCUAUCUGGACACUGUAGAAUACCAGACAUACUCACCACCAUCAUGUUCCUCUUGAAACUUGGAACACGAAGGAGGCACACGGGCAGCACCAGCUAGCUGAAGAGGUCAUGGGAUGAGGUUAUCGUUAUCGGUGAGGAUUGAGGAUUGACGAUGUCUCCCUAUAAGUAGUCAAAAGCUGGAGUUGCCUUAUAUUUCUCCCAACCUCAUCAUCAUCCCAUUCCCAUGGUGCCUAUGAUGAGGUCAACUGCAAGGUGCUACUUACUCUCCAUGGUGCUAUGAUGAGGUCAACUGCAAGGUGCAUCAUGCAUUUGCUCUGCUUUUGAGUUGUUGGUUGUUGGGUAAAUGAAAUCAGCUGCUUAUGUCUUAUGUAAUGUACUGUUGAGUUCAGGAGUCUGGGGGCUGCAGGAUCGGCCUUAUUGUUCUGUGUUUGUGGUUAGGUUUGGCCAUUCAUGAGUUACACUAUUAUCAGUCUUUUUUGUUUUUUAAUU